rnacentral:lncRNA from 1 species
UCAAAUUGAGCAAAAACAAUACAAUAAAAAAGAAGAGCUCAAAUUCUUCACCACAAUUCCAAUUAAAAAAUCAGUUUAAAAUUUUAGCGUUUUAUCUCAUGAAACACAGCAAAACCUGCUGCCAAAUACUAUUAAAACCAGCAGAAAAAACCAAUCUUUUGGCAUUUCAAAUCUGAGUGAAAACAGUACAAAAAGGGGGCUCCGAUGGGGUCACAAUUGAGUUCCGACGAAGCUGUCCGUCGACAACUUUUUUCUUUGGCGCAAAGCCACCGUAAGCAAAAGGUGUAUUGAAGGUU